rnacentral:lncRNA from 1 species
AUGCAGACCUUUAGUCUGACCCUGCAUGGCUGUUUUUACACAACUCGCUCACUCCACCCACUUUGCCUUCCACCCUGCAUCUUCCCCUUCCACACUUUACUUCCACAAGCCAGCCUAUACUACCUGAAAUACUGCCAUACACUGCUAGAGCAAGGACCUGCAGAGACCAGGUACAGCAGAAUACUUGGAUUCCUUAAGCUUUAUAGGAUAAUAUCCAUUAUUCCCCAAUUAUGAUGACGACAACUUCUCACUUGGACCAUGGAUCUUCUUUAUUUUGUAAGCACAUAUGUUUUAAAUGUUAUACUAGAUUUUUUUUUUGGUGUAGUGAAGUGUAACUUACGUGCAUCUCUGUGAGUGUGAACAUUUAUUUUAAGUUAACAUAUAUAUGUAUAUACCUACAUAUGUAUAUAUGUAACAUAUAUUUACAUACGUCUGUAAAUCACAAUUAUUAAAUUGAACUCAUCUUUACUAACCAUUUUUAAACUCAGUUUUUCUUAAUUUAUUGUCUUUUCUACAGAUGAGGCAGGAAAAGAACCAUGCUUUAGAGGUGAUUUAAGAACUGUUUGUGUUUCAAGCAUCAAAACUUUAACCUACAGUGGUAUUUAUGAAUGAAUUAGGCUAUAUUUCUCUGUAUUAGCCUUUCUCCUUUGUUACAGCUUCUUGUAAAAAUAGUUUCAUAUAAAAAAUGAUAUUGCUUUCUUUUAGAGUAUCUUUGUAUUUUGGCAAUGCUUGUUAACAUACUUUGGAUCAAGCUGAGAAAGAAAAAAUAUUUGUUUAUUUUACAGCUUGAGAAGAUUAGCAUCAACCUGUAUAUAUAUAUCCUCCAUUUCUGAAGUCAACCCCAUUUCCAAAGAUAGCUUUGCUUUGACUGAAUUCAGUGUUAUUGAAUAUAAUUCAGUCUCUCAUUAAUCUAUUACAGAUAUUAUUAAUACAACUUAGAUUUAUUAUAAAAUAUAUAUAAUGUAUGUUGUAUAUUUAUUUUAUAAAUACAAUUGUUAUACAUCAGCCAGUGAAACAAAAGUUAUCUUGUGUUUUAAUCUUUCCGAAAGGUACUCAAACUGAGAUGCCAAGAUAAGAGUUCCUAAUAAAUGAGGAUAUAUGGAAUCUGGUCUCUACGCU